rnacentral:rRNA from 1 species
CAGCCGCCGCGGGAAAACGGGGGGGGCAAGUGUUAUUCGGAAUGACUGGGCGUAAAGGGCACGUAGGCGGUCUGUCAAGUCAGAUGUGAAAUCCCCGGGCUUAACCUGGGAACUGCAUUUGAAACUGGCAGGCUAGAGUCUUGUAGAGGGGGGUAGAAUUCCAGGUGUAGCGGUGAAAUGCGUAGAGAUCUGGAGGAAUACCGGUGGCGAAGGCGGCCCCCUGGACAAAGACUGACGCUCAGGUGCGAAAGCGUGGGGAGCAAACAGGAUUAGAUACCCCUGUAGUCCCUGUCUCUUAUAC